rnacentral:lncRNA from 1 species
GAAAAUUUUAGUAAAUUAUAGUCAAUUUUUAUGCAAUGAAACUAUAUAGCUCUUUUUGUUAGAAAUUGUCUUACUAACUAAGCUGCUGGUGGUUCUGUGACGAAGUAGCUCCUGUUGGCUUCCCUUACACCGGGUCAGACACAGGACAUUAAUUAAGGCUGUGUGUGGUGUUUCUGAAAGGUGAGGAGACUGGGCAUUCUGUCUUUUACUCUACAGAUACAUCGUGGGAGACUCAAAGAUUAAAAUGUGGCCACUCACUGUGGAUCAGAAGCAGAAUCUCACAUCAUAACCCCAAAUGACCUGUUACUCACCAUGUGGCCCAGCUGUCUUCAAACUCACCAGCCUCCUGCCUUAGCCUUCUAAAUGCUUGGAUUACAGGCAUGACCCACCAUAACUGGCUUUGUUUUAGUUUCAGAGAAGAUGAAACUGAUGUGCGUCAAAAAGUUAUGGAGGCUGGGAAGACCUAGAAUGUGGCAUCACUAUUUGGAAACCAUGCCGAUUACCGACCGAGCUCUCAAUGGAAAAAUGCAGUCGGCGUGAACCACGCACGAACACAGCAGAGAAAGAAGAAAACACACACCACGAGGAACCCUAAUAGGACAAUACAUUAUAAGUCACAGUGCUACGGAGAAACCCAGUAGCCACAUGGAAGCAGAGACCAUGCAUAUGCAUCUACUCCGCAGCUCUGUGAAUGUCAGCAGCUCCCACGGACUGGAGAUCCCGUGAGAUCCCGUGAGAUCUCACCCAUAGCCUCAUGGUACAUCCACUUGGUGUGCUGGGAGAGUCAGGAUGAGGACCUGAGAAGAACAGCAGCUUGAACCUGACUUCAUUUAACAGCCCACUGCCCUCUUGCCAAGAACCCAUCACAGACCUUCCCAGAAGAGAGGGAUGAGCCUCACCUAUGAAUAAGUCCUCAGAAACUCAAAUUUGAUUCUAAUGGAUUGUUUUCUCAGAAAGACUGAGCAUGUCCCCCCACAUCUCUGUCAUUUCCCACAGUAGUAACCUCUGCAGAUGCCACAUAGAAAACAAAACAAAACAAAAAAACAUGAGGUUGGUGGGCAGAUAGGCAGGGUAUAAACAAACAGCCUUGUAACCCAGAAGCUGUGUGAUAUACAGUAAACUUCACAACACUGAAAAGAUGUCCUAUCUGUUAAAAUGGGGUAAUAACAACUACCCGAAUGUUUAGGAAUAGAACUUCAAUAAAUGAUACAUUUUAUAGUACAGCAGACCAUCCUGUAAAGGUUUCAUCCUUCACUGUGGUGAUAAAUAUCCCAAACCACAUUGAAAAGCAUUGCAUCUACAUUUAUCUACACUGUAACUGUACUGUAAAUCAUGGGGGAGGGGAGAAUCAUAAAAACACCACCUGUCACCGUGUCAUUAAAGCAAGUUGGAAGUGAUACUUACAGAAACACAGCAAGAGCACCCCCAGUCACACAGUUCAAUCUCUUAGCAAGCGUUUUCUUUCUAGCCCAGUGGUUCUCAGUUUGGAAUUUUUGGCACUGCCUAGAGAUAGUUUUGUUGUUAAAACUGAGAAAAGAGCCGGGCGUGGUGGCACACGCCUUUAAUCCCAGCACUCAGGAGGCAGAGGCAGG